CCCUGUGUAGAAUGACAAUAAAUGACGUGUCAAUUGAGGUCCUAUUUUAGCCAAUCAUAACGCAGUGGGCGGGACUACAGAUUAAACAGCGGAAGAUUCAAAUCGAAGAUGGCGGCUGGAAGCGAUCCUCACAACAAUCACAAACUGAGCAGAAGGGGGACACAAUGCAUCGUGUUUAUCAGCCAGGAAAAGAUAAACACGAGUCAGCCUGUGAUCUUUAACCCGGACUUCUUUGUGGAGCGGCUGCGACACGAGCAUCCACAGGCCUUUGCGGAUUUGGUACUAAGUAAUAUCACUCGUCUCAUCGACCUGCCGGGGGACGCGUUUGCCCAGCUCACCGGAGAGUCCGAGGCUAAGCUGCCCUCCGCCGGUGGCUUUCUCCGCUCUUUCAACUUCCUGAAGCGUAAAGACAAAGGAGUGGUUUUUGGGGCACCAUUAACUGAAGAAGGAAUAGCACAGAUCUAUCAGCUCAUUGAAUACCUGAGUAAAAACCUUCAUGUGGAGGGGUUGUUUCGUGUACCAGGCCACAGCCUAAGGCAGGCAGCCCUGAAGGAGAUGCUGAAUGCUGGGGCAGAGAUAGAUCUAGAGACCGGGGACUUCCAUCCUAAUGAUGCGGCCACAUUGCUCAAAGCCUACCUGGGAGAGCUGCCAGAGCCUCUGCUCACGCACAGACACUAUCAUGCCCACCUGAAGAUUGGAGAGCUGACUUGUUUUGAUGACAGAGGAGAUAAGACGAAUAUGCCUGACAAGGAACACCAGAUUGAAGCUUUUCAGUUGCUUUUCAUGCUGCUCCCAUCAGCCAACCGCAGCCUGUUGAAACUGCUGCUGGACCUGCUGUACCACACUGCUCGAAAUCAGCACGUCAACAAGAUGUCUGCUAUCAAUCUAGCCACAAUGUUUGCGCCACACAUCAUCUGGCCCAAAAAUGUUAUGGCAAGUGAUCUGCAGGAAAACAUCGAGCAACUGAAUAAUGGCAUCGCGUUCCUUAUCAGGCACUCGCAGAAACUGUUCAAGGCACCUACAUACAUCAAAGAUUAUACCCGCUCGUACUUCACAGGAUCACCAACUCUUCAAUCGAAGGAUGACUUGACUCUCUGUUCUGGGACUGAAGAUGGGCUCAUAUCUGCCAUAACAGCUGCCUCCCCUUCUCCCUCCAUGAGAACAAUCAGUGGUGAGGUCAGCGCCACUGCCAGUUCGACCCAGAGUUACACUGAAUCUGCCCUCAGGGAGCUGUACCAGCAGGUCAACAACCUGCCUGAGUCUGCCAAGAAGAAGAAGCUCAUCAGACAGUUUGAUAAGCAGCCUUUGCUGACCCCUUCGGCCGACUCACGCACACCCUUCAGCAGGAAACAUUGGCGUUCACGCUCUUUGGGGGGAAUCAUCAAGAGGAAGGUGUUGGGAAGCCAAGUACUCCGAGAGAAAGAAAACAGCAGUCUGCACAGUCCUCUACCGAGCUCUCAAUCGAUGCCCAGGCAAGAGAAAACACUCGCCGUGGAGGAGUGAGUACAACAUUGAUGCACCUCAAAACAAAUGAAACAAGUCUUAGAAUGACUGAGUGCCCUGUUUAACAUGGAAGAAUCCACAUCAUCACGGUAAGAAAACCUCAUCGCCUGCUGUCGUGGUCCUGUAGGCCAAUACUAUUCCCCAAUGAGCUUGAUGAUGGACAUGUAUGGAGGAACACUCAAGUAGUAAUUAUAUUGUAUUCAAACCAAACCAAUCAAAAUGUCACAUUUUAAAUUGUGGGACAGCACAAUUUCCUCCUAAAAGUGUCAUCCCCCAGUGACAAGUAGUUUUCCUCCUGGCCGAGCUGGAGGAGUUUUCUGGCAUUUCCAGCCAUCGUCUGUGGUUCACCACAGACAAGCCUGGCCUCACUUUGACUCAACGGGUCCUCUAACAGAUUGCACUCUUCACAACUACGGAAACAUCCGGCUGACUGUUAUAUUAGGGGUAUUAAGUUAUCUGUGCUGUCGACACAAACUAAAGGGUGUAGAGCGAGGCGGUGAAGUUUAUGUCUUAAAUGUGAGUAAAAUGGCAGGAAACCACCCCAUUUCCUUUGCCGUCUAGCAGGUUUUAUGUAACCUACAUAAAUGGGGUUAAAGGACAGCAGUCAGGAUGCUGCAUGCAUUAUUGUAAGUCAAUGACAGGUAUCAGUUUUCUUACCCAGUUGUCCUUGUUCUUUUACAAUGUUCAGCAGGAUGCCAGUGACAUGUAUUUAUAACAGUGAAUUUGUGGCUAUUUGGCUUUACCAUUGACUGAACCAUUCUUUUCAUUUGCAAACCUAUGUAUUUAUUUUCUGAAUUUUUCAAGUCCUAAAAAUCCAGUGCGUCAGAUCUAUUGGUCCAAUGUGAUAUGCAGGUUUUUUUUAUUUAAAUGUUACAUUUGUAAGUUAUAUUAGGUUUAAACUCAGUCAAUGCAAAGCGUUCAAUACUUUUAUAAGGAAAGUGGUCAAUUCUGGGAUGUGCCUUUUUUUUAAAGUGAAUAUAUCUUAAAUUAAUGAUUAAUGAAAAAAUGUUAUUCUAAAAUUUGUCUUUAAAUUCCCUAUAGCUUUAAGUGUGUGGGGAAAUUUCUUUAAAGAAUAUAUUCACGUGUCAAUUAAAUUAAGGCAGUGAAGAUGAAUGGAGGUGGAGAGACACAUAGUUAAAGACUAUAUAGGGCCAUCUUGUGUCGAUUAAAUUAAUUGAUUUCUCCGUUUCCACAAGCUUAAACCUUCGGUGCUACUAAAGAACACUGUUAUACUUAAAAACUACUGAUACUUAAAACUUCAGCUUGUUUUUUUAAUUGUGAAUUUUACAGUUUAAUUGCUUAAUAUGCACUUCUAUGUUUAUAAUUCAAUUAUUUUGUGCAAGACAUUUUUUUUUUUUUUGCCUAUUUUUUAUCUUUUUAUAUUUGAAGGUCAAUGAAGAGAAAUGUGUUUUUUGCCUUCUAUUGUGAUUGUUAACCCAAGUGCUUCCUGGGAGAGUUUAAGCUCCUUAAACCUGCUUGUUGUCUUAAGUAGCCGUUUCCAGAUCAGUCGUCACUGGUGUCCCUAAGCUACUGAAACGUGAUGAUUGGUCAACAUGUCCACGGACGUACUGAUGCUACUGUGAAGUGAUGCAACUCACUGGAAUUAAAAGACAACAAGCUGA